UUGAUGUAAAAGCUGCAGCGACAGUGUCUUGGAGUUUAACGAAUCUCAAUCUAUGAAUUGAAAAUAAUUUAGAUACGACGUUCCGAGUAAAGUAUAAAAUGAUAAAGAUUUUGUUGAUAGCCGAAAUAAUAACUUAUGAAUAUAUUUAAUUUAACAACGCUAUAUUGUACACAUAGACUACCUCUCAAGUGCUUUUAGUACGACUUAUAAUAGUUUUUACGAGAAUGACUCUAUGUGUGAGACGCGCUAUCCAGGAGGGCGAAUACUCCCAGAGAUUACACGUAUAAUUGGCGCCAUAAAUCUAUUUUAUUAUGUGACCUAUUAAGGAUGAGUAGACAUUUCAGCAAGCUUCGCGAAUUAUGGAAUUUAUUGCAUAGUAUCUUCAAUUGGGCUAUUCUCAAGCCUGUUGCAGGAUAGCGAUACGCGACCAACCAAACUUCUGCAUCAGUUUGAUCCGGGUCGGGUUGUGCACGGUCGCAGACGGAUGCGUGCGGAACAGCGUCGGGAACCGCGCCCGAUCCGACAGCGCGGGCGACGACGCGCCGUAACACAACUAAAACGUUAAUGUAUUUAGAGCAUACAUAUACAUAUAACGUAAUAAAAUUAAACAUACUUUCGGAUUUUACAACAAUUAGAUUAGGUAACACUAUUCCCCGUGACCACGAAGGUUGCAAAGUUUUCGAAACGUCCGGAGAAAAUUAAAAUAUAAAACCUCUAUAAAAUCCGAAAAAUAGUUUAAUUUAAUGUCUAACAUUCGCGUAAACAAGAAAUCAUUAUAUAUAACGUAUUUUAGGAGUAGCCAGAGAUUUCACACACCUUCUUUCCCCAGCUAUGUUACGCUGCGUGUAAUAGUUGAGCCUAUUGACUCCCGGGCACAUAUCCAGUUAUCUUAACGCGAUAGUCGUUAUAUGUAUGCCUUCGAUAUAAUCGCAAAAUAGAGUAUAAUCGAUUGCGAAUUAUAAAAAUACGCGUAUAUACGUAACAUCACUAGUUUGCGAUACAACUUCGAAGAUAGUGUAUUUUUCCAGACCAGAACAGUCCAAACCAGUCCAGAUUAAUUAAUAUAAAUAGACAAAAUUCAAUCUUCAAAUUAAUUAGUGAAUUUCAUUUAUAAAGAAGUUAGUCGAAAUACUUUAGUUAUUUAACUUUUAAUUACGUUCCCAGAUAUUUUAUGCCGAAAUUCUUUGUUGAUAAAUUCUAUUAAAAAUGGGGAAAAAGAUGUGAAUUUAUAAAGUACACCUUGUUAGGUCGUCCAAUCCGAAAAUUCAUAAACGACCUUUGGAAUCACUCGAACCCCAUUAACCAAUCACCGAUCAAAAUACAUUAACUGAUGUGCAGGGCUUGACCCUCGUUUAAAAAAGGGGUCGUCGCGUUUGUUGUUUUUCAUUCAUUUGUGGUUGAGGGUACGUAAUUGAACGCGACGUUUGGGUAAGCUUUUUUUGAACAAUUAAGUAGUAUUUAAAAAUAGAAUAUGAAUCAACAUAGUUAAUGGAAUAUAGACUUCGAUUUUUAAAUUGUCUAUGAAUAUUCGAAAUGAAAUUCUCUAAUUGCAAUUGGACGUCCUAACAAGGCAAUUCAGCACGCAAGCGGGUCGAAAUGGAAUUAUAUAUAUCUGCCUAAAUUAACUAAUUGUGUUAUAUAGACAGUAGUAACGAUAUUCAACCAUAUUAGAUCAUCCAAUUUGUAAGUUAAGCAUAUAAACGUGUAAAUUGAUAAGAUUCAAAUAAAAAAAAAUGUGUUUUGAA